GACCUCAAAUCAGGUAGGACUACCCGCUGAACUUAAGCAUAUCAAUAAGCGGAGGAAAAGAAACUAACAAGGAUUCCCCUAGUAACUGCGAGUGAAGCGGGAAGAGC
rnacentral:rRNA from 2 species